rnacentral:rRNA from 1 species
UGGCGGCAGGCCUAACACAUGCAAGUUCGAGCGGUAACAGGGGAAGCUUGCUUCUCGCUGACGAGCGGCGGACGGGUGAGUAAUGUAUGGGGAUCUGCCCGAUAGAGGGGGAUAACCACUGGAAACGGUGGCUAAUACCGCAUAAUCUCUUAGGAGCAAAGCAGGGGAACUUCGGUCCUUGCGCUAUCGGAUGAACCCAUAUGGGAUUAGCUAGUAGGUGGGGUAACGGCUCACCUAGGCGACGAUCCCUAGCUGGUCUGAGAGGAUGAUCAGCCACACUGGGACUGAGACACGGCCCAGACUCCUACGGGAGGCA